rnacentral:rRNA from 1 species
CAGCAGCCGCGGUAAUACGAAGGGUGCAAGCGUUACUCGGAAUUACUGGGCGUAAAGCGUGCGUAGGUGGUGGUUUAAGUCCGUUGUGAAAGCCCUGGGCUCAACCUGGGAAUUGCAGUGGAUACUGGGUCACUAGAGUGUGGUAGAGGAUAGUGGAAUUUCCGGUGUAGCAGUGAAAUGCGUAGAUAUCGGAAGGAACACCUGUGGCGAAAGCGGCUCACUGGACCAUAACUGACGCUGAUGCACGAAAGCUAGGGGAGCAAACAGGAUUAGAUACCCGCGUAGUCCCUGUCUCUUAUAC